CCUACGGGAGGCAGCAGUCGGGAAUUUUGGGCAAUGGGCGAAAGCCUGACCCAGCAACGCCGCGUGAAGGAUGAAAUCCCUCGGGAUGUAAACUUCGCAAGAACGGGAAGAAUAAGUGGGUGUUAAUACCGCCGGCGAUGACGGUACCGUUUGUAAGCUCCGGCUAACUCCGUGCCAGCAGCCGCGGUAAUACGGGGGGAGCAAGCGUUGUUCGGAUUUACUGGGCGUAAAGGGCGCGUAGGCGGCCACCGCAAGUCGGUUGUGAAAUCUCCGGGCUUAACUCGGAAAGGUCAACUGAUACUGCGGGGCUAGAGUGCAGAAGGGGCAACUGGAAUUCUCGGUGUAGCGGUGAAAUGCGUAGAUAUCGAGAGGAACACCUGCGGCGAAGGCGGGUUGCUGGGCUGACACUGACGCUGAUGUGCGAAAGCUAGGGGAGCGAACGGGAUUAGAUACCCCGGUAGUCCUAGCCUUAAACGAUGAAUGCUUGGUGUCUCCGGUUGGGAGUCCCCCGCCUCCGGGGGGCAGCCGUUCUCCCUGUAGGGGC
rnacentral:rRNA from 1 species